rnacentral:lncRNA from 1 species
UGCUGUAUAAGUUGUUACAUGAUAGAGAUGUAAGAAGCAACCACUUUCGUAAUCACAUAAAAAGUUACAAUAGAUGUUUGCCUUCACGUCAAUGGAAGGUAAAGUGGAUAAGGAUAUAAAUAGAAGUCGUGGUCUCUAUGUGUAUAGAAUAAAUGAACAAAAUAUUCACAUGAUUGGUAGUUUGCUCUCAAAUAUUGGA